UACGUAGGGUGCGAGCGUUGUCCGGAAUUAUUGGGCGUAAAGGGCUCGUAGGCGGUCUGUUGCGUCAGGAGUGAAAACUCGGGGCUUAACCCCGAGCCUGCUUCUGAUACGGGCAGACUAGAGGUAUGCAGGGGAGAACGGAAUUCCUGGUGUAGCGGUGAAAUGCGCAGAUAUCAGGAGGAACACCGGUGGCGAAGGCGGGUCUCUGGGCCGAUACUGACGCUGGAGGAGCGAAAGCGUGGGGAGCGAACAGG
rnacentral:rRNA from 1 species